rnacentral:lncRNA from 8 species
GCUGGCAAGGAAGCCUGAGAGGCACCCCCAAUCAUUUUUUUUGGGGGGGGGGCACACGGGUAGUUUGGCUGGGCCAAGGGUGAGCCCUAAGCCAACUCCCCGUAUUUAUUAUGGGGAGCGCGUGGAGUGGAUCUCGCCCAUGCGCACGCACAGUCCGGUGCGAGCGAUUCCAUCCCCUCGCAAGUGUCGCACUAGAGUGGGCAUCCAGCCUGGAAGGAGGAUGCCUGCGCAGCACAUCUGGCCACCAGUGCGCCUCCUAGGCCCAGGCUACCCUACGCCUGCUCUACGCACGGCAGCCAUCAGGCCUCUGCACAGCCCAGUUUGCCCUGUGCCAGCACUCCGCUCGUGCAGGGCUACUAUUACCAUCCAGCCAGGACGGGUUGUGCAGGAGGUGCACUCCAGACCUCCAGUGCCUACUCAUGGCCCGGUGUAUCCAGUUCCUGCUCCUCGCACUAGCCCUGAGGUGCGUGUCUCUAGUCUGGCGCCUCCAAAGCCAGAACCACGCACCAGGCCUCCAGUGCGUCAGCCCAGUCCAGCUCGUCCUGCUCCUGCUCCUCGCACUAGCCCUGUGGUGCGUGUCCCUAGUCUUGCGCCUCCAAAGCCAGAACCACGCACCAGGCCUCCAGUGCGUCAGCCCAGUCCAGCUCGUCCUGCUCCUGCUCCUCGCACUAGCCCUGUGGUGCGUGUCCCUAGUCUGGCGCCUCCUAAGCCAGCCCCACGCAUCAGGCCUUCAGUGAGCAGUCCCUGUCCAGAGCUUCAGGCAACAGUGCCCCGUCCAGAGUGUCCGGCAACAGUGCCCCGUCCAGAGUGUCCGGCAACAGUGCCCCGUCCAGAGUGUCCGGCAACAGUGCCCCGUCCAGAGUGUCCGGCAACAGUGCCCCGUCCAGAGCUUCCGGUGAUAGUGCCCCGUCUAGAGAUGGCCCACAGUCCGGAGCCAGCAGAGACGGCCCACAGUUCGGAGCCAGCAGAGACGGCCCACAGUUCGGAGCCAGCAGAGACGGCCCACAGUCCGGAACCGACAGAGACGGCCCACAGUCCGGAACCGACAGAGACGGCCCACAGUCCGGAACCGACAGAGACGGCCCACAGUCCGGAACCGACAGAGACGGCCCACAGUCCGGAACCGACAGAGAUGGCCCACAGUCCGGAACCGACAGAGACGCCCUCCAGUCCGGAGCUCCCAGAGACGCCCUCCAGUCCGGAGCUCCCAGAGUCUCCCUCCAGUCCGGAGCUCCCAGAGUCUCCCUCCAGUCCGGAGCUCCCAGAGUCUCCCUCCAGUCCGGAGCUCCCAGAGUCGCCCUCCAGUCCGAGAUCUCCAGCGACGCGCAUCAGCCCGAGGUCUCCAGCAACACGCAUCAGCCCGGGGUCUCCAGCGACGCGCAUCAGCCCGAGGUCUUCAGCGAUGCGCCAUAGCCCAGAGACUUCAGGAGGGGUAAAAUAUAAUAAGCAUUUAGG